rnacentral:rRNA from 1 species
AGUGAACGCUGGCGGUAGGCCUAACACAUGCGAGUCGAACGGCAGCACAGUAAGAGCUUGCUCUUACGGGUGGCGAGUGGCGGACGGGUGAGGAAUACAUCGGAAUCUACUUUUUCGUGGGGGAUAACGUAGGGAAACUUACGCUAAUACCGCAUACGACCUACGGGUGAAAGCAGGGGAUCUUCGGACCUUGCGCGAUUGAAUGAGCCGAUGUCGGAUUAGCUAGUUGGCGGGGUAAAGGCCCACCAAGGCGACGAUCCGUAGCUGGUCUGAGAGGAUGAUCAGCCACACUGGAACUUAGACACGGUCCAGACUCCUACGGGAGGCAGCAGUGGGGAAUAUUGGACAAUGGGCGCAAGCCUGAUCCAGCCAUACCGCGUGGGUGAAGAAGGCCUUCGGGUUGUAAAGCCCUUUUGUUGGGAAAGAAAAGCAGCAGGUUAAUACCCCGCUGUUCUGACGGUACCCAAAGAAUAAGCACCGGCUAACUUCGUG